rnacentral:misc_RNA from 1 species
GAUGAAGAACGUAGCGAAAUGCGAUAAGUAAUGUGAAUUGCAGAAUUCAGUGAAUCAUCGAAUCUUUGAACGCACCUUGCACCCUUUGGCUAUUCCGAAGGGUAUGCCUGUUUGUGUAUCAUGAACACCUCAACUCUCAUGGUUUGCCAUGAUGAGCUUGGACUUUGGGGGUCUUGCUGGCCUGUGGUCAGCUCCUCUCAAAUGGAUUAGCUUGCCAGUGUUUGGUGGCAUCACAGGUGUGAUAACUAUCUACGCUUGUGGUUUUCCACCAGGUAACCUUCAGCAAUGGGGGUUCGCUGGGGCUCAUAAAUGUCUCUCCUCAGUGAGGACAGCUCUUUGAACGUUUGAUCUCAAAUCAGGUAGGACUACCCGCUGAACUUAAGCAUAUCAAUAAGCGGAGGA